rnacentral:rRNA from 1 species
UUCGAGUGGCGACGGGUGAGUAACGCGUGGGUAACCUGCCUUACACAGGGGGAUAACACCUGGAAACAGGUGCUAAUACCGCAUAAGCGCACAGGGCCGCAUGGCCCGGUGUGAAAAACUCCGGUGGUGUAAGAUGGACCCGCGUCUGAUUAGCUUGUGGCGGGGUAGGGGCCCACCAAGGCGACGAUCAGUAGCCGGCCUGAGAGGGUGGACGGCCACAUUGGGACUGAGACACGGCCCAAACUCCUACGGGAGGCAGCAG